rnacentral:rRNA from 1 species
CACCGCGGUUAUACGAGAGGCCCAAGUUGAUAGACAGCGGCGUAAAGCGUGGUUAAGGACAAAAUAACUAAAGCCGAACACCCCCCCAGCUGUUAUACGCCCGCGGGGCGUUAGAAGCACAAUUACGAAAGUAGCUUUAUCACACCUGAAUCCACGAAAGCUGAGGCA